CCGAGUUUACAACUCCCAAACCCCUGUGAACAUACCUAUCGUUGCUUCGGCGGAUCCGCCCCGGCGCCCUCGGGCCCGGAUCAGGCGCCCGCCGGAGACCCUAAACUCUGCUAUUCUGUAGUAUCUUCUGAGUAAAAGAUUAAAUUAAAUCA
rnacentral:misc_RNA from 1 species